UUUGGUGAAGUUGUUUGGCUGGAACUGCUCUGGAAGUUGCAGAGGCUUGCUAUAAAAGAAGCAAGUUCUGAUUUAGCUCCUCUGCAGCUUAUGAGUAAAAUCAAAGUUGGGGUCUCAGAAAACAGAUGCUCGCAUCUAUUAUAGUCACCUUACUGUAAGAGUCCUUGAGGAUCAUUGCAGAGCGCUCGGCAAGUGACAUGAGACUUCAUUAUGCCCUUAUCAAGGCAUGUGCUAUGUAAUAGGCUCUUCACUGGGAUCCCAAAACUGAUCUGCGCUACCUGAUUGCUCCAAAACAUUUACAUAGUGAUGCAAAGAUACAUGGGCUGUCCUGAUGGUAAUUCUUCCUAUUUUAUGAUGUUGGGCCAUAAUGUUGGAGGCAGAUGUUGGUGGUGUGGCAGCAGAGCUUGAACCUUCCUACCAGUAUUCCAUUACAUGUUGUUGCUGUGUGACAGAUGGCAGCACAGGGGCAGUCUGACAAAAUGGCAUCUGACGUGGAAGCAUGUAUGAAGGCUGUUGUUUGUUGCUGGCAAAAAUGUGUGGGUAAUGAUGGUGGCUGUGUUGAAAAAUAGUCUUUUGUAGCUGAGAGUGUGCUCUACCAAAUAAUGUUAUUGCGCUUUUUUUAUCUGUUGUAAUUUCCAUGGAAAUAAAUAUUACUUUUGGAGCAGUCUAGGU
ensembl:lncRNA